rnacentral:rRNA from 1 species
CUUUUGACCUCAGUUCAGACAAGGCUACCCGCCGAAUUUAAGCAUAUUACUAAGCGGAGGAAAAGAAACUAACAAGGAUUCCCCUAGUAACGGCGAGCGAACCGGGAAGAGCCCAACUUGAAAAUCUAAAGGUUUUACCUUUCGAAUUGUAGUCUAGAGACGCGUUCUCUGCGGCGGAUCGGCUCCAAGUCCCCUGGAAAGGGGCGUCAGAGAGGGUGAGAACCCCGUCGAAGCCGGUUUCAGUCGCUCCACGAGGCGCAGUCGAGGAGUCGGGUUGUUUGGGAAUGCAGCCCUAAGCAGGUGGUAAAUUCCAUCUAAGGCUAAAUAUUGGCGAGAGACCGAUAGCGAACAAGUACCGCGAGGGAAAGAUGAAAAGAACCCCUUUGAGGGGAGUGAAAUAGAACAUGAAACCGUAUACUUACAAUUGGUAGGAGGAUGAACACAUCUGACUGCAUGCCUGUUGAAGAAUGAUCUGGCGACUUACGGUAAGUGGCAUGGUUAAGAUUUUUCAUCGAAGCCAAAGCGAAAGCAUGUCUGAAUAGGGCACUCGUCCCUUAUCGUAGACCCGAACCCAGGUGAUCUAACCAUGACCAGAAUGAAGCUUUGGUGAUACGAAGUGGAGGUUCGAACCGACCGAUGUUAAAAAAUCGACGGAUGAGUUGUGGUUAGGGGUGAAAUGCCAAUCGAACUUGGAGCUAGCUGGUUCUCCUCGAAAUGCGUUGAGGCGCAGCGGUUAAUUAUGAACUUUUAGGGGGUAAAGCUACUGUUUCGGUGCGGGCUGCGAAAGCGGUACCAAUCUGUUGCAAACUCGGAAUACCUAAAAUGACUUCAAUUAGCCAGUGAGACUAUGGGGGACAAGCUUCAUAGUCAAAAGGGAAACAGCCCAGACCAUCAGUUAAGGCUCCUAAAUAAAAGCUAAGUGGUAAAGGAGGUGAAAACGCAGUGACAAUCAGGAGGUUUGCCUAGAAGCAGCCACCCUUUAAAGAGUGCGUAAUAGCUCACUGAUCAAGCGUUUUUGCGCCGAAAAUUUCCGGAACUAAGUUUUUUGCCGAAGCUAUGGAUAUAUUACUAACAUAAUAUGUGGUAGAGGAGCGUUCCGCCCAGGGAGAA